rnacentral:rRNA from 1 species
AUAGAACCUGAAACCGUGUGCAUACAAACAGUGGGGAGCGGACUUGUUCCGUGACUGCGUACCUUUUGUAUAAUGGGUCAGCGACUUACGUUCAGUAGCGAGCUUAACCGAGUAGGGGAGGCGUAGGGAAACCGAGUCCGAAUAGGGCGCAUAGUUGCUGGGCGUAGACCCGAAACCAAGUGAUCUAUCCAUGGCCAGGUUGAAGGUGCCGUAACAGGUACUGGAGGACCGAACCCACUAGUGUUGCAAAACUAGGGGAUGAGCUGUGGAUAGGGGUGAAAGGCUAAACAAACUUGGAAAUAGCUGGUUCUCUCCGAAAACUAUUAGGUAGUGCCUCACGUAUCACUCUCGGGGGUAGAGCACUGUCAUGGCUAGGGGGUCAUCGCGACUUACCAAACCAUAGCAAACUCCGAAUACCGAGAAGUGCGAGCGUGGGAGACAGACAUCGGGUGCUAACGUCCGGUGUCAAGAGGGAACAACCCGAGACCGCCACGCUAAGGU